rnacentral:rRNA from 1 species
AGAGUUUGAUCCUGGCUCAGGAUGAACGCUGGCGGCGUGCCUAACACAUGCAAGUCGAACGAAGCACUGCAAACGGAGAUUCGUCAAAGUUUGCUUUGACUUAGUGGCGGACGGGUGAGUAAUGUAUGAGCAACCUGCCUUUCAGUGGGGGACAACAGUUGGAAACGACUGCUAAUACCGCAUGAUGUCAAUUGGGGGCAUCCCCGAAUGACCAAAGGAUUUAUUCGCUGAAAGAUGGGCUCAUAUCUGAUUAGCUAGUUGGUGAGGUAACGGCUCACCAAGGCUGCGAUCAGUAGCCGGACUGAGAGGUUGAACGGCCACAUUGGGACUGAGAUACGGCCCAGACUCCUACGGGAGGCAGCAGUGGGGAAUAUUGGGCAAUGGGCGAAAGCCUGACCCAGCAACGCCGCGUGAAGGAAGAAGGUCUUCGGAUUGUAAACUUCUUUUAUGAGGGACGAAGGACGUGACGGUACCUCAUGAAUAAGCCACGGCUAACUACGUGCCAGCAGCCGCGGUAAUACGUAGGUGGCAAGCGUUAUCCGGAUUUACUGGGUGUAAAGGGCGCGUAGGCGGGGAUGCAAGUCAGAUGUGAAAUCUAUGGGCUUAACCCAUAAACUGCAUUUGAAACUGUAUCUCUUGAGUGCUGGAGAGGUAGACGGAAUUCCUUGUGUAGCGGUGAAAUGCGUAGAUAUAAGGAAGAACACCAGUGGCGAAGGCGGAUUACUGGACGGCAACUGACGGUGAGGCGCGAAAGCGUGGGGAGCAAACAGGAUUAGAUACCCUGGUAGUCCACGCUGUAAACGAU